rnacentral:rRNA from 1 species
UGGCGGACGGGUGAGUAAUGUCUGGGAAACUGCCUGAUGGAGGGGGAUAACUACUGGAAACGGUAGCUAAUACCGCAUAACGUCGCAAGACCAAAGAGGGGGACCUUCGGGCCUCUUGCCAUCAGAUGUGCCCAGAUGGGAUUAGCUAGUAGGUGGGGUAACGGCUCACCUAGGCGACGAUCCCUAGCUGGUCUGAGAGGAUGACCAGCCACACUGGAACUUAGACACGGUCCAG